rnacentral:lncRNA from 1 species
GUAGCCUUUAAUCCUAGAACUUGGGAAGCAGAGAUAGGUGGAUCUCAGUGAGUCUGAAGCCAGCCUAAUCAAGUUCCAGGACAGCCACGGCUACACAGAGAAAACCCUGUCUAUAUAGAUCUAAACAGAGAAUUCACAACAGAGGAAUCUCAAAUGGCUAAAAAUCAAAGAAAUGUUCAACAAAUUAAAUACAAAUUAAAACUUAACACCUGUCAGAAUGACUAAGAUCAAUAGCACGAGUGACAGCUCAUGCUGUGAGGAUGUGGAGCAAGAGGAACACUCCUCCACUGCUGGUGGGAGUGCAGACUUGUACAGCCACAAUGGAAAUCAAUAUGGUGGUUCUUCAGAAAAUUGGGAAUGAUCUACCAUCAAGACCCAGCUAUAGACCUGAACAAGGGGGAGCUCAUGGACCCCAGACUGAUAGCUGGGAAACCAGCAUAGGACUGUUCCAGACCCCCUGAACAUGAAGGACAUGAAAUUUGAAGACAGAUGAAUGGAACUAGAAAUGCCCAGCCUGAGUGAACUAACCCAGACCCAUAAAGACAAAUAUGGCACAUCAGUGAGGCUUCCUCUGGCAACAGAUGGGAACAGAUGCAGAGACCCUCCACCAGACAUUAUGGAGAGAGAGAUUCUAAAUGGGAUGUCUCCAUCAAAUCCCUCCUCAGAGCUUAGAGAACCCUCCAGAAGAGGAGGAGGAAAUAGUCUUAAGAGUCAGAGGGUUUGGAGGACACCAGAAGAACACGGACCUCUGAAUCAACUAAACAAGGCUCAUAUGAGCUCACAGACUGUCGCAGCAAGCACAGGACCUACAGAGUCUGCACCAGGUUCUCUGCCUAUAUAUUACAGCUUUAGCUUAAUACUUUUAU